UACGUAGGGGGCUAGCGUUGUCCGGAUUUAUUGGGCGUAAAGAGCGUGUAGGCGGCCAGGUAGGUCUGCUGUGAAAACUCGAGGCUCAACCUCGAGACGUCGGUUGAAACCGUAUGGCUAGAGUCCGGAAGAGGAGAGUGGAAUUCCCGGUGUAGCGGUGAAAUGCGCAGAUAUCGGGAAGAACACCUAUGGCGAAGGCAGCUCUCUGGGACGGUACUGACGCUGAGACGCGAAAGCGUGGGGAGCGAACAGG
rnacentral:rRNA from 1 species